rnacentral:rRNA from 1 species
AUGAAGGAACCGAUCAAGGAUCUCCUGAAGCGCUUCGAAUUGCAAGAAGAGGAAGAGGAUAACUUUGUCUGUGAGGAGGAAUUCCAGGAGAACCAGGUGACGGCGAAGUGGAUAGCGAUCGCGAAAGUCCAUACAGAUAAGGGAUUUAGUCCCUCUGCUUUGUACUCGGAUAUGAGAUCUGCGUGGAACCCGGCGAAGGAACCACGAUGGCGCAGGAUUGAAGACAACCUAUUCACGGUACAGUUCGGCUGUCUGGGUGACUAG